CUUUGUUCUCUCUCUCUCUCUCCCUCCCCAGGAAAAGCUGGCAGCCCUGUUGUGAGCUGCCCUAUGGAAAGGUCCAUGAGAUACGGCGAGGGACUGAGGCUCUCGGACCCACAGCCCACAAGGGACUGAAGCUUUUCCAACAACCAUGAGGAGCUUGGAAAUGAAUCCAGUGUUGAGAAUUGACAGCCUGAUUGUGACCUAUGAGGACUUCGGAGCAAAAGGCACCCAGUAAAAUCCUACCCAGACUCCUGACCUGCAGAACCUGUGAGAUAAUCAGUUUGUUCUGUGAAUACCUAGGAUCUUGCCAUCAGAGCAAAUGCCUUAACUAAUAUUACUGCAUGAAUCUGGAGACCAAGGUACUCAGAAGACAUCUGUUGAAUGGAGAAGGGGAAGGAGAAGAAAGGGAAGGAUGAAGCAGAGGGAAGAGGAUGGGAAGGAGUUAACAGACUGUGAGAGGUUCCAGGUGCUCGAGUACAGCAGAGCCCAGUGGAGUCAAGACCACCGUCCCAUGGAAUUCACUUUCCAGUUAGAGACACGUUUUAUGACAGAGGUAAGCCCAUAAAUAGUCACAAAACAAAGUGCAGGGUGACUUGAGAGAAUGUAAGCACUUUGAUAAAUACAGUGUAAACACAGCCUGACUGGUGGGGAUGGCAUCUUUAGAUCAGAUGAUUUAGCGAGGGCUCCACAAGAAAGUAAGAGAGGCGGGGGCCAGGCCAAAGCAACAGCAAGUGUCAGUUUCCAGUUUUUGCAAAUAAAAAUACAGGACACCCCAUUACAUUUGAAUUUCAGAUAAACAACAAAUGAGUUUUUAUCCUCCUGGUAAUGAAAGGGUUUUUUUAAUCUAGCAGCCCUAAAAGCACAAAUACUUAGAAGUAGGACCAGGCUCAAUGUAAUCGAGGAUUAGAGUUUGGGGGUGGGAGCAACGUGAGAUGAUGGGAGUUUGAAAAUGGAGGCCAUCAAGGUAGGAGGCUGGGGUUUUGGGUCUUCAGGUGCUGGAAAGCCACUGAAGGGUUUCAUGAGCUGAAUGGCCUAAUCUGACUUGGCCGUGUUAAAUGAUGGCUCAGUGGGCUGCAGGGGGGAAGAUCAUGGUGUGUGGGAACACAGAGGCAGGAGACUGUUGGUGUGGUCCAGCGGUGAGAUGAUGGGUUCUCACUCCAGAGGCAGAGCGGUGAGGACAACAGAAGUGAACUGCCUCAGUCAAGGGUUGUAGUUGCAAGCACUAGCUAUGUUUAACACCAGAG
rnacentral:lncRNA from 1 species